rnacentral:lncRNA from 1 species
AUGAUCGUUGUUAAGUUAUCCUCAAUAGUUCAAUUUCAUACCACAUAUGUAACUGUUCAACUUAGCAAAUUAAUCUAUUAUAAAGGGUCUCCCUUAACUUCAUUUUUUCAAAAUUUUAAGGGCCAAGGUUAUUCCACCCAAAAAAACAUAAUUAAAUUUCUACUUAUUGCAGUGGACUUAUGGUGUCUUAAGUAUAUUGAAGUUCCACUCCACUCCAACCCCCUACCCCCCCUUCCAGCCGAAGAUAUACCUUUUGGUAAUUCCGGCGUGUCUCGGGAAGUCACCUCUUAAUCUUAUAUAUUAGUCGUACACCUAACAUGUUACAUUACCUUACUUUACUUUUAAACUAUGUUUGUUUAAUUUUUGUUUGUUUAAACAAUGUACUCUACUUUAUGUGAUUUUCCUUAACAAAAUAAAAAAAAAAAAAAAAAAAAAAAAAAAAAAAAAAAAAACGUAUAUUGAAGUUGCAGUUAAGUACCCAGCAAUUUAAUUUAGAAAUAUCUGCAGGUAGUCAACCCCUCAAUCUAUGUUGUGUUCACUUUAUUCCCUCUUCUUAUACAAAUGUUUCACUUUAAAUUUUACCCAUAUUCUAAUAUAUUCAUAAAAUUUUGCGAAAUUAUUUUGUAAAUAUUUCAAUAAUAUUUUGAAAAUACAUCGUAAAUAUUUACGAAAUAUUGUUGGCGAUCAAAAAGUGUUCUUUUAACCAUAUUGUUAAAAUAUUUUUGUAACAUGUUUGCAAUGUUUCACAAAUAAUAAAACAUGAUUACCGUAAACUCUUUGUCAAUAUUUCUGAAAACAUUUCAGCAGCAUUUUCUGUUUUGAUGGGAGAGCAGUCGCCUUUAGAUUGAAUAAGUAUUGAAUGAACGAUCAAACUUUAUCACACUCAGAGUUGCCAUUUGUUAAUUAAAGGACACUGAUAUCCCCUAUCUAAGCGAUGAAAGCUGCACAUUUGUCACAAAAGCGAUAUGGAUAUCUGUUAGUUCUUCCUUUCUAUUUUAGCCUUGCUGUAGUCAGCGAGUUAUUGCUCAGUCGAUAGUGAUGAUCAUCCUAUUUCCCUCGCUUUUUAAACUUUCACAAUCUCAAAUGUUCCGUUUUUAUGUUUUGUUUACUUGCUAACACCAAUUGACAAUGAUGUUUUCAUGACUUAGCCCUAGUGUAGGUUACACACGGAGGAAAAAUCGGAACUUCUGAUAAAACUCAGGCAAGUAGUCGGAACAUAUUUAUUUUUGGAUCAUUCAACGAGAGAAACUCCUCCUAUUAUAGUAACAGCAAUGAAAUAGAAGUCGAAAGGAAGGAAACACACUAGUUAUUGUAAAAAAAAAUUAAUUUAAAUAUUCAUCUUAAGAUAAGGCGAGAGCUACUUUCCGUCGAGGAAGUGACUUGCGAGCAGGGUAGACUGCAACGAAAAAAAUAUGAAAGAUUUGAAAUUUCAGUGCGACACACACACACUCACCCUCCCUCUCACACACUCACACAAAAACAAAAAAACAAUAAGUGAAAUAUUUCAUUUCUUUAAAGGCUUCAGUAU